GACGAACGCUGGCGGCGUGCUUAACACAUGCAAGUCGAACGAAGAGCGAUGGAAGCUUGCUUCUAUCCAUCUUAGUGGCGAACGGGUGAGGAACGCGUAAUCAACCUGCCCUUCAGAGGGGGACAACAGUUGGAAACGACUGCUAAUACCGCAUACGAUCUAAUCUCGGCAUCGAGGAUAGAUGAAAGGUGGCCUCUACAUGUAAGCUAUCACUGAAGUAGGGGAUUGCGUCUGAUUAGCUGGUUGGAGGGGUAACGGCCCACUAAGGCGAUGAUCAGUAGCCGGUCUGAGAGGAUGAACGGCCACAUUGGGACUGAGACACGGCCCAGACUCCUACGGGAGGCAGAAGUGGGGAAUCUUCCGCAAUGGACGAAAGUCUGACGGAGCAACGCCGAGGGAGUGAUGACGGCCUUCGGGUUGUAAAGCUCUGUUAAUCGGGACGAAAGGCCUUCUUGCGAAUAGUGAGAAGGAUUGACGGUACCGGAAGAGAAAGCCACGGCUAACUACGUG
rnacentral:rRNA from 1 species